rnacentral:rRNA from 1 species
UGCAGUCGAACGAGAAAGGGGACUUCGGUCCCUGAGUAAAGUGGCGCACGGGUGAGUAACACGUAGACAACCUGCCUUACGGUCUGGGACAACCUUUCGAAAGGAAGGCUAAUACCGGAUAACAACAGCGCUCGCAUGGGCGCUGUUUGAAAGUUUUUCGCCGUGAGAGGGGUCUGCGGGACAUUAGCUUGCUGGUGGGGUAACGGCCUACCAAGGCAGUGAUGUCUAGCGGGUCUGAGAGGAUGAUCCGCCACACUGGAACUGAGACACGGUCCAGACUCCUACGGGAGGCAGCAGUGGGGGAUUUUGCGCAAUGGGCGAAAGCCUGACGCAGCAACGCCGCGUGGGUGAAGAAGGCUUUUGGGUCGUAAAGCCCUUUUCUGAGGGAAGAUACUGACGGUACCUCAGGAACAAGCACCGGCUAACUCCGUGCCAGCAGCCGCGGUAAUACGGAGGGUGCAAGCGUUGUUCGGAUUUACUGGGCGUAAAGGGCGUGUAGGCGGAUGUGCAAGCUGGGGGUGAAAGACCCGGGCUCAACUCGGGAUGGUCUCCCAGAACUGCGCAUCUAGAGAAAGUCAGAGGCAGGUGGAAUUCCAGGUGUAGAGGUGAAAUUCGUAGAGAUCUGGAGGAACACCGGCGGCGAAGGCGGCCUGCUGGGGCUUUUCUGACGCUGAGGCGCGAAAGCGUGGGGAGCAAACAGGAUUAGAU